rnacentral:rRNA from 1 species
GACGAACGCUGGCGGCGUGCCUAAUACAUGCAAGUUGAGCGAUGAAGAUUGGUGCUUGCACCCAUUUGAAGAGCAGCGAACGGGUGAGUAACGCGUGGGGAAUCUGCCUUUGAGCGGGGGACAACAUUUGGAAACGAAUGCUAAUACCGCAUAACAACUUUAAACAUAAGUUUUAAGUGUGAAAGGUGCAAUUGCAUCACUCAAAGAUGAUCCCGCGUUGUAUUAGCUAGUUGGUGAGGUAAAGGCUCACCAAGGCGAUGAUACAUAGCCGACCUGAGAGGGUGAUCGGCCACAUUGGGACUGAGACACGGCCCAAACUCCUACGGGAGGCCGCAGUAGGGAAUCUUCGGCAAUGGACGAAAGUCUGACCGCGCAACGCCGCGUGAGUGAAGAAGGUUUUCGGAUCGUAAAACUCUGUUGGUAGAGAAGAACGUUGGUGAGAGUGGAAAGCUCAUCAAGUGACGGUAACUACCCAGAAAGGGACGGCUAACUACGUG